rnacentral:pre_miRNA from 1 species
UUAAUACUCCCUCCAUCCAACAAAGGAUGUCUCAACUUUGACUAAAUUUGAAUGCAUCUAUACACUAAGUUAUGUCUAGAUACAUCCAAAUUUUGACAAAUUUGAGACAUCCUUUGUUAGACGGAGGGAGUAUAAU